rnacentral:lncRNA from 1 species
AGGUACUGUUGUUUAAGUGAAGUUAUUUUUAUGUUGUAAUUUGUUAUAAUGGUAGGAGAUUUGAUAUCUUGCACAUGAUAAAAAUUAUCUUGUCUCGAGUAGGUUUUGCGCUUGGAAAAUAUUCUGCAGUUUUUCAUUUCAUACAUGAACUAGUGAUUGAGUAGAAAAAGAAUUGGAAAUGGAUUGAAUCAAAUGAGCUUUAUGAAAGCCAAGUAAGAAAAGUACCUGGAUUCUGAAAUGUCAGAUAACUUGGUUUAUGUGAAGAAGAUGUCAUUACUUCAUAUUCAGUAAUAGUGUUAGAGUCCGUAUACACAGUGAUCAAGGAUAUUGUGGAAUGUUGAUCUGUUGGAGCAAGCUUUAUCAUGAAACGAUUAACUAUAGCCAUCCUUCAGUCAGAAUUUCCUGGAUUCUCUAUUUCUUAACCAGUAAAUUUUCCAUAUUUAUUGUCUUAGAUUAACUAUAGCCACCCACAGUGUAGGUUCUAAAAUACAGGUAGCUCUCUUUUUGCAAUUCAAGAAAAUGUAAAAUGUAUGUUGAAGCCCUAUAUCUUAGUAAAAAUUCCAUCAAACUUUUUUUGAGGGGACGGAAGUAGGGAUAGGGGCUUGACCUCAUAACCUCUUAGUGGAUGUGGAUGCUUAGCAUUAAGCUUUUGGCCCUAACAUCCAGUUAAAUCUGAUAUAGCAAAAGAGAUGUAGUUAGAUAUAAUGUGGAUGCUUAGCAUUAAGCUUUUGGCCCUAAAAUCCAGUUAAAUCUGAAAUAGUAAAAAAAUGUAGUUAGAUAUUAAUUUCCUCAGAUUUAUGCCACUACUUCAUCCAAAUAGAUCACUCUUGAAGAAAUGUACAGAGGAGGGAAGAGUAACAGGGAUUGGACCAGUGAAGAGUGCAAGAACUUGCUGAAACUACUGGCUACAGUAUCUAUGAACGGGAAGAGGGAUCAACCUUUAUGGAAAUUGACUAUAAUUACCUGAUUAAAUAUAAUGAGCUUUGUUUUUAAGUAUCAGUAGCAUGAGACUGCUGCUGACACUGUGGAUAGUUGUAAAAGCAAAGUUUGGGGGGAACCACAAUGAUAAAGUUGAGACAGCUGACAAUAAAAUCUUCACACAUAAGAAACAUCCAAAUCAUACUAUCAAGCAACAUCUCCCAGAGAUGCCCAAUAUGAUUAAGGAGAUGAAGUUAGCCCAACACGCUCUUACUGACGAGCAGCAUCCUGGUGAUUGGUAGUAUAUGAUUGUUAACCUCACCCCAUAAUGAUGGAAUCAAGACAUUUGAUGAUCUAGCUCCUCAUGUUCACUUAGAAAAUGAAGGUUUGGGAUAACCCACUCAAUGCAUUUGUUGCAGAGGCUAGCUCUAGGAAAGCAUUGGGCUUUAAUCCCAAGAAGAACUUGAAAUGUGGUGGAAAAACGAAGAGAGCCAAAGAAAGGUUCAAGAAGAAACAGGAUGGAAAGAUAAGGAACAAGGUGUCCACUAAGUAUUCUUUUUAUAAUUCUAUAAAUGAUUAGCUCUUUAUUGCUUCUAGUAGCAAUAAAAACAUAGAUAUGAAUGUUUUAUAUACUAGACUAGACCAUGUUGAGCACGACAAAAUAAACAAUUUAGCCAAACAAGGUUUAUUGGGUUCUAUUCAAAAAUUGAAUUGCCACUAUGUGAAAAGUCUUAUGGAAGAUAGAUUGACUGGAAAACCAUUUUGUACGGCUAUUAGAUUCAAGAAGUCUUUGCAACUCAAACACUCAAAUAUUUGUGCAAUGAGUGUUAGACAAGAAAUGGGGUAUCCUAUUGUAUUACAUUCUAGAUGAUUUCAUGAGAUGUGGUCAUUUGUAUUUAUUAUUUCACAAAUCAGAAGGUUUUUGUUGCUUCAAAAGGUCUGUAAUAAAAAUUGAGAAUCAACUCGAGAGAUAUUUAAUCUCUAGUUUAUCUAUUGUUGAGAAAUGAAUCAAUUACUUCAGAAUUCCCUGCAACUUGCUGGUCCUAAUAAUUGGGAUUAAUGACUAUUAAUGAGGGGACUGCACCAACAUAAAAGAAGGCCACCAUCAACCCUGAUCCAAUAAACGAUCAAUCUCUCUUUCAAUUUAGUUUCUAACAAUGCUUUAAAUUUUUAUGCAAUCUAAUAAUGUCUUAAUUAGUAUCUAACAACACUGGUUUUCUCCAUUCAUUAUUUACGACAAGGGUCAAACAACUUUAGAUAAUAACUGCAAUAACUUUCUGUUGUAG